rfam:Camelus ferus unplaced genomic scaffold scaffold310, whole genome shotgun sequence.
GGAGGUAUAGUUCAAGUAGUAGAGUGCAUGCUUAGCAAGCACGAGGUCUUGGGUUCAAUCUCCAGUACCUCCU